rnacentral:misc_RNA from 1 species
AGUUGCUGGCUCACUACGAAUCAGCUCUUCUUAAAUGUAUUAGCGAAGAUCUUUGCUGCUCAUCAUUGGUAUGAUAAUUAUCUAUAUCAUUGAUAAACAGUGUCCUUCACGGGAGAGGUCUUGCUUCUAAUAGUCUUUUUGAAGACAAUAUUAUGAUAACUUUUGACCUCAAAUCAGGUAGGACUACCCGCUGAACUUAA